rnacentral:rRNA from 1 species
AUUGAACGCUGGCGGCAGGCUUAACACAUGCAAGUCGAGCGAGCGGCGGACAGGUGAGUAAUGUCUGGAAAACUGCCUGAUGGAGGGGGGUAACUACUGGAAACAGUAGCUAAUAACGCAUACCAUGCGUUGGGCCGGGAUGGGAUUAGCUAGUUGGUGGGGGAAUGGCUCACCUACGCGACGAUCCCUAGCUGGGCGGAGAGGAUGACCAGCCACACUGUAACUGAGACACGGUCCAGACUCCUACGGUAGGCAGCAGUGGGGAAUAUUGCACAAGGGGCGCAAGCCUGAUGCAGCCAAGCCGCGUGUAUGAAGAAGGCCUUCGGGUUGGAAAUGAAUUUCAGCGGGGAGGCGGUACCCGCAGAAGAAGCACCGGCUAACUCCGUGCCAGCAGCCGCGGUAAUAC